AACGAACGCUGGCGGCAUGCCUAACACAUGCAAGUCGAACGAGACCUUCGGGUCUAGUGGCGCACGGGUGCGUAACGCGUGGGAACCUGCCCUUAGGUUCGGAAUAACUCCCCGGAAGGGGUGCUAAUACCGGCUAUUGUCUUCGGACCAAAGGUUUAUCGCCUUUGGAUGGGCCGGCGUUGGAUUACCUGGUUGGUAGGGUAAAAGCCUACCAAGGGGACGAUCCAUAGCUGGUCUGAGAGGAUGAUCAGCCACACUGGGACUGAGACACGGCCCAGAAUCCUACGGGAGGCAGCAGUGGGGAAUAUUGGACAAUGGGCGAAAGCCUGAUCCAGCAAUGACGCGUGAGUGAUGAAGGCCUUAGGGUUGUAAAGCUCUUUUACCCGGGAUGAUAAUGACAGUACCGGGAGAAUAAGCUCCGGCUAACUCCGUG
rnacentral:rRNA from 1 species